UACGUAGGGUGCAAGCGUUAAUCGGAAUUACUGGGCGUAAAGCGUGCGCAGGCGGUUGUGUAAGCCCGAUGUGAAAUCCCCGGGCUUAACCUGGGAAUGGCAUUUGGGACUGCAAGGCUGGAGUGUGGCGGAGGAGACUGGAAUUCCCGGUGUAGCAGUGAAAUGCGUAGAUAUCGGGAGGAAUACCGAUGGCGAAGGCAGGUCUCUGGGCUGACACUGACGCUCAUGCACGAAAGCGUGGGGAGCAAACAGG
rnacentral:rRNA from 1 species